AUUGCUGAAGUUUACUUUUAUUAUUUAAUUCUUGAAGGACUGUAUUCAGCAGGACAAGGUUAUUCAUAAAUAUUCAUUUUCUUUCUUUUCAAAUUGGGGAAUUUUGCAAAAAUUAAAGAAGAAAUACCAACAAUUUCACAUCAUUUUGGCUAUAUUUCAUAUUUAUUCAGGCUUCCUUGGUAAUCAACUUAUUAUAUAUAAUCAUUGUGAUAGUAAUGUAAAGAUUUAUAAAAAAUAAAAAAUUUGAGGCAUUCAGAAUUCCUUUCU
rnacentral:lncRNA from 1 species